rnacentral:rRNA from 1 species
UGGGGAAUAUUGGACCAUGGGCGAAAGCCUGAUCCAGCCAUGCCGCGUGUGUGAAGAAGGUCUUCGGAUUGUAAAGCACUUUAAGUUGGGAGGAAGGGCAUUAACCUAAUACGUUAGUGUUUUGACGUUACCGACAGAAUAAGCACCGGCUAACUCUGUGCCAGCAGCCGCGGUAAUACAGAGGGUGCAAGCGUUAAUCGGAAUUACUGGGCGUAAAGCGCGCGUAGGUGGUUUGUUAAGUUGGAUGUGAAAUCCCCGGGCUCAACCUGGGAACUGCAUUCAAAACUGACUGACUAGAGUAUGGUAGAGGGUGGUGGAAUUUCCUGUGUAGCGGUGAAAUGCGUAGAUAUAGGAAGGAACACCAGUGGCGAAGGCGACCACCUGGACUAAUACUGACACUGAGGUGCGAAAGCGUGGGGAGCAAACA